AGCAUAUCAAUAAGCGGAGGAAAAGAAACCAACAGGGAUUGCCCUAGUAACGGCGAGUGAAGCGGCAACAGCUCGAAUUUGAAAUCUGGCCUCGGCCCGAGUUGUAAUCUGUAGAGGACGCUUUUGGCGCGGUGCCUUCCGAGUGCCCUGGAACGGGACGCCACAGAGGGUGAGAGCCCCGUAUGGUCGGACACCAAGCCUCUGUAAAGCUCCUUCGACGAGUCGAGUAGCUUGGGAAUGCUGCUCUAAGUGGGAGGUAAACUUCUUCUAAAGCUAAAUACUGGCCAGAGACCGAUAGCGCACAAGUAGAGUGAUCGAAAGAUGAAAAGCACUUUGAAAAGAGGGUUAAAUAGUACGUGAAAUUGUUGAAAGGGAAGCGCUCAUGACCAGACUUGCGCCGGGCUGAUCAUCCAGUGGUCUCCACUGGUGCACUCUGCCCGGCUCAGGCCAGCGUCGGUUGUUGCGGGGGGACAAAAGCUCUGGGAACGUAGCUCCUCCCGGGGAGUGUUAUAGCCCUNUGCGAAAUAUCCCCGCGGCGACCGAGGUCCGCGCUCUGCAAGGACGCUGGCAUAAUGGUCAUCAGCGACCCGUCU
rnacentral:rRNA from 1 species